rnacentral:rRNA from 1 species
AUGCUCGUUAUCGCCGCCGCACAGCUGCCUCUUCCCGGCUCGCAGUCUCGCCGGCGAGACCCGCCGCGGCCACCGAAAGCGCUCGCCGCCAUACUGCGCUCGCGCGUCAUCGCCUGCCUCCGCGCGCAAGAUGGAGAGACGGCGAUGCAGGCGGCACUACUAGGAAAAGGAUUCACGACUUGCCUAGAAAUCGUGAUGUCCACUCCUGGAGUGCUAGAGGUUGUUGAGGAUCUUCGUAGGAGUUACCCUUCCUUGACAUUUGGGGUUGGUACGGUCCUCAAUGCUGAUGAUGCAAGGAAAGCCAUUAGAGCUGGUGCACAGUUUCUCAUGAGCCCUGGCACAGUCAUGGAAAUACUUAAUGAUCUUGAUGGAAGUGAAGUUCUGUAUAUUCCAGGAGUGCUGACACCAACUGAGGUUAUAUCUGCUUGCAAUGCUGGUGCUAAAGUCGUUAAGCUGUACCCAGCUUCGGUGAUGGGUGGAGAGAUGUACAUGUCUGCUCUAAAGAAACCAUUUCCUCUUGUACCAAUGGUUGCUUCGCAAGGAAUUACCAUAGGUUCGAUCAAGUCGUACAUGGAGGCAGGGGCAUCUGGGGUGGUGCUGUCCGAUGCUAUCUUCGACAAAGAGUUGAUGAGAGAAAGGAAUUUCAUUGGAAUUUCAGCACUCGCAAACCAGGCCACUUUGCAGGCAUCACGGUGUGGAAGAUGA